rnacentral:rRNA from 1 species
GUAGUCAUAUGCUUGUCUCAAAGAUUAAGCCAUGCAUGUCUAAGUAUAAGCAAUUAUACCGCGAAACUGCGAAUGGCUCAUUAAAUCAGUUAUCGUUUAUUUGAUAGUACCUUACUACAUGGAUAACCGUGGUAAUUCUAGAGCUAAUACAUGCUGAAAAUCCCGACUUCGGAAGGGAUGUAUUUAUUAGAUUAAAAACCAAUGCCCUUCGGGGAUCUCUGGUGAUUCAUAAUAACUUCUCGAAUCGCACGGCCUUGCGCCGGCGAUGGUUCAUUCAAAUUUCUGCCCUAUCAACUUUCGACGGCUGGGUCUUGGCCAGCCGUGGUGACAACGGGUAACGGGGAAU